GAUAAGGUGGCUGAAGUUUUAGGCAGUAAAUUGUAAAUUUAUUUAUGGUUCUUGACCCUUUAUCA
rnacentral:tRNA from 1 species